rnacentral:rRNA from 1 species
GACGAACGCUGGCGGCGUGCUUAACACAUGCAAGUCGAACGGUGAAGCGCCUUCCUUUUUGGUGGGUGUGGAUGAGUGGCGAACGGGUGAGUAACACGUGAGUAACCUGCCCCCUUCUUCUGGAUAACCGCAUGAAAGUGUGGCUAAUACGGGAUAUUCUGGGUCUGUCGCAUGAUGGGUCUGGGAAAGAUAUUGUUUCGGGGGGGGAUGGGCUCGCGGCCUAUCAGCUUGUUGGUGGGGUGAUGGCCUACCAAGGCGGUGACGGGUAGCCGGCCUGAGAGGGUGGACGGUCACACUGGGACUGAGACACGGCCCAGACUCCUACGGGAGGCAGCAGUGGGGAAUAUUGCACAAUGGGCGCAAGCCUGAUGCAGCGACGCCGCGUGAGGGAUGGAGGCCUUCGGGUUGUGAACCUCUUUCGCCAGUGAAGCAGGCCUGCCUCGUUUGUGGGUGGGUUGACGGUAGCUGGAUAAGAAGCGCCGGCUAACUACGUG